AGAGUUUGAUCAUGGCUCAGAUUGAACGCUGGCGGCAGGCCUAACACAUGCAAGUCGAGCGCGAAAGUUCCUUCGGGGAUGAGUAGAGCGGCGGACGGGUGAGUAACGCGUAGGAAUCUGCCCGGUAGUGGGGGACAACUCGAGGAAACCCGAGCUAAUACCGCAUACGCCCUAAGGGGGAAAGCAGGGGAUCUUCGGACCUUGCGCUAUCGGAUGAGCCUGCGUCAGAUUAGCUAGAUGGUGGGGUAAUGGCCUACCAUGGCGACGAUCUGUAGCUGGUCUGAGAGGAUGAUCAGCCACACUGGGACUGAGACACGGCCCAGACUCCUACGGGAGGCAGCAGUGGGGAAUAUUGGACAAUGGGGGCAACCCUGAUCCAGCCAUGCCGCGUGUGUGAAGAAGGCUCUAGGGUUGUAAAGCACUUUCAGUAGGGAAGAAAAGUUAAUAGUUAAUACCUAUUAGCCCUGACAUUACCUACAGAAGAAGCACCGGCAAACUCCGUGCCAGCAGCCGCGGUAAUACGGAGGGUGCGAGCGUUAAUCGGAAUUACUGGGCGUAAAGCGCGCGUAGGCGGUUUGGUAAGCUGGAUGUGAAAGCCCCGGGCUCAACCUGGGAAUUGCAUCCAGAACUGCCUGACUAGAGUACAGUAGAGGUGAGUGGAAUUUCCUGUGUAGCGGUGAAAUGCGUAGAUAUAGGAAGGAACAUCAGUGGCGAUGGCGGCUCACUGCACUGAUACUGACGCUGAGUGCGAAAGCGUGGGGAGCAAACAGAUUAGAUACCCUGGUCGUCCACGCCGUAACGAUGAUCUACUAGCCGUUGGGGUCCUUGGAGACUUAGUGG
rnacentral:rRNA from 1 species